rnacentral:ncRNA from 2 species
UCUGCCGAGGAGCGCUGCGAGACCCCUGUCCCAGGCUCGGCCAAUUCUCAACUGCGCUCACCUUAA